rnacentral:rRNA from 1 species
CCUGAUUCCAUCCCGAACUCAGAAGUGAAACGAAACAGCGUCGAUGGUAGUGUGGGGUCUCCCCAUGUGAGAGUAGAACAUCGCCAGGCU